rnacentral:rRNA from 1 species
CCUACGGGAGGCUGCAGUAGGGAAUAUUGCGCAAUGGGGGGAACCCUGACGCAGCAACGCCACGUGUGGGAAGAAGCAUUUCGGUGUGUAAACCACUGUCGGAAAGGAAUAACGGAAGACUUCGGUCUUUAUGAAUGUACUUUUAGAGGAAGCACCGGCAAACUUCGUGCCAGCAGCCGCGGUAAUACGAGGGGUGCAAGCGUUGUUCGGAAUCACUGGGCGUAAAGGGAGCGUAGGCGGAAGUGCAAGCAAUCUGUAUAAUCCUGGGGCCCAACCCCAGUUCUGCAGAUUGGACUGUAUUUCUUGAAUAGUUCAGAGGCAAGCGGAAUUUCUGGUGUAGCGGUGGAAUGCGUAGAGAUCAGAAAGAACACCAAUGGCGAAGGCAGCUUGCUGGGGACUUAUUGACGCUGAGGCUCGAAAGUGUGGGUAGCAAACAGGAUUAGAUACCCCAGUAGUC